GUCCCUCACUCCAGAAUGCCUGGAAGUCCCUGCGGCUCUCAUAGGCCCCCUGUUCUCCCUUAGUUCUACCGUUGUGUCUUCCAGACACAACAGGACUCAGCACAUAUGAACUCACAGACUGUGGCAGCAGGCACAGACCUUCAAAGCUCAAGCCAGAGGGAGGCCAGUACCGAGAGGGGAAGUGGACACGAGCUCCCUCCCAUCCCUGGACAGGAAGCUACCUCCAGUUGGCGUGUACUUGCAAAGGAAAAGUUGGCUUUCUCCACUGGAGUCUCAUUGGCUAUAUUGACCACACUGAAGAGAAGGAAGGAAGGAAGGAUGAAUUGGGCGGUGUACAUCUGUAAUCCAAGCCCUGGGGAAGUGGAAGCAGAAGACCCAAUUCAAGACCAUCCUCAGCCUCAAGGAAGUUCAUGGUCAGCCUGGGAAACAUGAAACCUUACUUAAAAAAAAAACAAAACAGAAAAUAUUAGAGUAUGCAUACUGCCUAACCCAC
rnacentral:lncRNA from 1 species